rnacentral:rRNA from 1 species
UGGGGAAUAUUGGACAAUGGGCGGAAGCCUGAUCCAGCCAUGCCGCGUGUGUGAAGAAGGCCUUUUGGUUGUAAAGCACUUUAAGCGAGGAGGAGGCUACUUGGAUUAAUACUCUAGGAUAGUGGACGUUACUCGCAGAAUAAGCACCGGCUAACUCUGUGCCAGCAGCCGCGGUAAUACAGAGGGUGCGAGCGUUAAUCGGAUUUACUGGGCGUAAAGCGUGCGUAGGCGGCUUCUUAAGUCGGAUGUGAAAUCCCUGAGCUUAACUUAGGAAUUGCAUUCGAUACUGGGAAGCUAGAGUAUGGGAGAGGAUGGUAGAAUUCUAGGUGUAGCGGUGAAAUGCGUAGAGAUCUGGAGGAAUACCGAUGGCGAAGGCAGCCAUCUGGCCUAAUACUGACGCUGAGGUACGAAAGCAUGGGGAGCAAACAGG